rnacentral:rRNA from 1 species
CCCUUAGAUGUUCUGGGCCGCACGCGCGCUACACUGACGAAUGCAACGAGCUUAUAACCUUGGCCGAAAGGUCUGGGUAAUCUCCAAAUCUCGUCGUGAUGGGGAUAGAUUAUUGCAAUUAUUAAUCUUCAACGAGGAAUGCCUAGUAAGCGCAAGUCAUCAGCUUGCGUUGAUUACGUCCCUGCCCUUUGUACACACCGCCCGUCGCUCCUACCGAUUGAAUGAUCCGAUGAAUAUCAUGGAUUGAGGAUGCAAGUAGGUUCGCCUAUCUUCAUCUUCGAGAAGUGAAGUAAAUCUUAUCAUUUAGAGGAAGGAGAAGUCGUAACA